rnacentral:rRNA from 1 species
AGCGAACGCUGGCGGCAGGCCUAACACAUGCAAGUCGAACGAACCUUUCGGGGUUAGUGGCGGACGGGUGAGUAACACGUGGGAACGUGCCUUUAGGUUCGGAAUAACUCAGGGAAACUUGUGCUAAUACCGAAUGUGCCCUUCGGGGGAAAGAUUUAUCGCCUUUAGAGCGGCCCGCGUCUGAUUAGCUAGUUGGUUGAGGUAAUGGCUCACCAAGGCGACGAUCAGUAGCUGGUCUGAGAGGAUGAUCAGCCACAUUGGGACUGAGACACGGCCCAAACUCCUACGGGAGGCAGCAGUGGGGAAUCUUGCGCAAUGGGCGAAAGCCUGACGCAGCCAUGCCGCGUGAAUGAUGAAGGUCUUAGGAUUGUAAAAUUCUUUUACCGGGGACGAUAAUGACGGUACCCGGAGAAGAAGCCCCGGCUAACUUCGUG